ACAAUAUUUACCAGCAAGGUAUUAAUAAUUAGAAAAUAAUAUACACUGCAAACUGGAGAAAGCUCAGAGCACCUUGGUUAACCCCAUGGGGUCCACAAGGUGCCAUGAGAACAGGGCAGUGAAAUCACCUCCUCCUCAUCUCCACUCUUUGGGGUUUCCACAAACUUUGCACUGCUGAGAUUUUUUUUUCCCAUUCAUUUUCAUUUCUCCCUCCUCUGCCACUUUCGCAAAGAUACUUAGAGAGUGGGGAUGGGGAAGAGGACUAUGCUAGGCCUUCAAGUCCAGUAGCUCUCAUCUUCCUAAGAUCCUGUGGGGAUCUUAAGAAGGGAAUAGCUUCCCUCAUUUGAUAAAUGAGGAAACUGAGGCUCAGAGAAGUCAAACUUGAAUGACCUGCUUGGCCACUAGGAUCUCCAAACGAUGACUUGGAGUCAUGUUGCUUAUGAAUAUGUCAUUUCAAAAAACAGGUCCCCAAUUCUCAGUCCAAGAGGAUGAGUCACUUACUUGUAGGUUUUGGACCUAUCCAGCCAGAUUCCUGAGAUCACAGCCCCAAGCAUUCCUGCAAUGACGAUCGUCAGGCCAAUUCUUCCAGCAUUCACUUCUUCCCCCUGGGGAAACCAUAGCCCCAAAGAUCACCCAGCGAUGGGACAAGACCCGGGACAGAGCACAGUCACCAUGGGGUGAAGGAACAAAGACAGAGUGCAGCCAGAAGUCUAGGGAAAAGCCAGCAACACUUGGACCCUCGAUUUCCUCCAAGGCCUUCAAUUAUCGCUGCACCUCAGUUCUGGGCAGUUGACUCAUCAGCUGGGAGAACCACUUGAAAAGCCACUACAAAUACAAUACCAUCAGCUGCAGGACAGUUACUCCUCCUUUUAGUGAAAUCUGGUUUGGACCAAAGAAGCAACGCUGGAAAUCAGUAAGUUUACCAGUGCAAUAGCAUUGGCAAUAGCACUGGCAAUGGCAGACUGGCAGUCUGGAGGCAUGCCAUGUCUUUAUUCUCAACUGCAUUAAAAGCUUUCACUUCCAUUCAGAACACUCCAAUGGGAAGUAAGUAUCAUUACUGUUUUCUAGUGGGGGUGGAGAGUAUUAAAGAGAUGAAGGAUGGGCAGCACAGAUGGAUGAAGGUGGUACACUCUGUAUCUGGCAGAGCUGACACCAAAACCCAGACCUCCCAUUUCUUAUGAUCCAACUCUGAACUUACGAGUCCAGCACUCAAGGCUCUUAACCCAAGACAUGUCCACCCAUGUCCAAUACGUGUGCCUGUGAAAUGCUGUUGCCUGCUUAAUUCCCAGCCACAUGCUCUUUAAAUGCAUAUAAUUCAGAGCUAAAUAUGAACACUACAUGUACAAUGUAAAAAGUAUGAACCAUUUUGUUCUUCAAAGUCCAAUCUGAAACUGCAAGGGGAUUAGGAGGACUGGGGUAAUUCUGGAAGAUUUCAAAGCAUCUAGUUGAAUCGAUAGAGGGCAUUUUAGAAAAUUGUUUUUGUUGGGAGGCCAAGGCGGGCACAUCACCUGAGGUCAGGAGUUCAAGACCAGCCUGGUCAACAUGGUGAAACCCUGUCUCUACUAAAAACACAAAAAUUCCCUGGGUGUGGUGGUGGGUACCUGUAAUCCCAGUUACUUGGGAGGCUGAGGCAGGAGAAUUGCUCAAACCUGGAAGGUGGAGAUUGCAGUGAGCCGAGAUCAUGCCACUGCACUCCAGCCUGGUGACAGAGUAAGACUCUGUUUAAAAAAAAAAAAAAAUUGUUUUUGUUUUUGUUUGUUUUAAUUUGGAACAAACACAGUAGGAAAAGAAAGCAAAGAUUAACAGUUGGAGUAAGUGCCUAUAGUUCUUGCCCUAUGGCCAAGAAGCUAAAACUCUAGAGCCUCAGUUUCCUCAUGUAUAAAAUGAAACAAAGGGCUUAUGUCAUGGGUUUGUUUUGAAAAUUAAAUGAGAUAAUGCAUGUAAAGCAAUUAACAUGAUUCCUCCAUCAAAAAAUUUUUCAAAUCUGUGAUUCAGUCUAAGAAUCAUUUUCUUUUUGGCAAAGAACCCCAUAUGGACAUCAUAUUCUCCAGAGUUUCCUUUCAGCAUUUUCAGCCAGCCUCUUGUUCACCCCAAUUGUUAUCCCCACUGCAGGCAGCUACAAUGUUAAGCAGUGCCAUUGAUCGUUUUCAACAAAUGCCCUGGCAAUAGGGCUUUUCCCAUGAGCAAACUCCAAGUCAGGUUAAAUAACAACAUGUCCUAUGAAUAGGGCUUUUCCGGGGACCUGCUAGGUAGGUCAAAUAGUAAUUCUCAGGGGUGGAGCUCCAAAUCGACUUUGCUCCCUCCAAUGGCUAUGAGACAGUUGGUUUUCACAGCUCCAUGGCUGUGAGGCUGCUGGAUGUCACAGCCCCAUGGCUGCAAGGCUGUAGUAGUCAAGGCUACUUGCAGAGCCUGGAAGAAGGGGCUUGGAAUAGGGCAAGUGAAAACACAAGGCCCACUGUUCUUACUGAUAUUUAGCCAUUUCUCUUGAAUAAAUGCUGCUUGGAUUGUUGCAAGCCAUUUGUUAAAAGUUCUGAAAAAAUUCAUUUUUAUAUUUUUUGUCAUUGUUCUUGUUUCUAUAGAGGAGCGGAUUUUCUAAGGUCCUUACUCCACCAUUCAAGAAGUGCUUUCCUAUUUAUUUCCUGGGUUAUCAUUUAAUCAAAUAGAUAAGGAAAAGUGUCCAGAAGUACAGGAUUAAAACUACUCUGUCAGAUUAAAGACCAUAUAAGCAACCAGCCAUGUGAGAGGAAGGAGGAGUAGCUUUGCUCCCCACAGCAUGGCCUAGGCUUGAGCCCCUCGAUGACCAGGAGCAACAAUGUUUCUGGUAUAUUUUGUCUCUGUUUCUUGUUCUCAUGAGUCAGUGACCUGGCCCUAACACCAACAACCUCCAGCACUGAGGACCACAGCCUUCGGAAUGGGACCAUUGCCCAGUUAUCACCACUGUCACCAUUUUCAGCCAUAGAAAAUAUUUAUGAAGCACUCAUCUGCCCUAGAAUCCCAGAUGAAUGGGGAGACAUACUCAGAGAAUUGAGAAACCUGAGGAAAUGAGGAACAGAGGACCAAGAUCUUGAAGACGAACCUGGUCAUCUACAGCUAUUCCAGAUGAAAGGUCACCUAAUUUCUAUGUAUGCCUGAAAAACAGGAUUGCCCCUCUACCAGGAUGAAGCCACCUCUUAUCUAGUGUUUCAGCAGAUAAACAUUUUAGUUGAGAUAAAAUGUAUUGAUGAGCCUAAAAUGAAACUCUGGCACAAUUCUAGGAAGGAACAUCAGCAAUUACAGAACAGGCAUUAAGAAUGCAAAUUUUGGCUGGGUGCGGUGGCUCAUGUCUGUAAUCCCAGCACUUUGGGAGGCCGAGGUGGGUGGAUCACCUGAGGCCAGGAGUUUGAGACCAGCCUGGCCAACAUGACAAAACCCCGGCUCUACUAAAAAUACAAAAAUUAGCCAGGCAUGGUGGCAUAUGCCUGUAAUCGCAGCUACUCGGGAGGCUGAGGCAGAAGAAUUGCUUGAGCCAGGGAGGCGGAGGAUGCAGUGAGCCAAGAUCGCACCACUGCACUCCAGCAUGGGCAAAAAGAGGAAAACUCUGUCUCAAAAAAAAAAAAAAAAAAGAAAAAGGAAAAAGAAUGAGACUUUGGAGUUAGACAAACUUGUAUUUGAACUCUGGCUCUGCCACUUGAAAGUUGUGUGACCUUGGGCUAGUUAUUUGGCCACUUUGAGUUUAGUUUCCUCAUCUGUUAAAUAGGGAUAAUUUUAGUACCAACAUCACAUAGGUGUACUGGAAGUUAAAUAAAAUCAGAUAUG